GACGAACCGUCCAAACGUUAUUCGGAAUCACUGGGCUUACAGAGUUCGUAGGCGGUCCCAAAAGUUAGGUGUGAAAUCCCUCGGCUCAACCGAGGAACUGCGCUUAAAACUGUGGGACUCGAGGGAGAUAGAGGAAAGCGGAACUGAUGGUGGAGCGGUGAAAUGCGUUGAUAUCAUCAGGAACACCGGUGGCGAAGGCGGCUUUCUGGGUCUUACCUGACGCUGAGGAACGAAAGCCAGGGGAGCGAACGGG
rnacentral:rRNA from 1 species